AUGGAAGAACUACAUGCAGCAGCCUUAGCCUACUAUUCCAAUGGUUCUCCGGAACUUCAGCGUCUGGCAUGGUCUUUCUUCCAAUCGAUGGACACAAACAACGAUGGCCGAAUCAGCUCCUCAGAGUUUUAUGAAUUUCUGCAGCAAAGUGGUUACAGCUGGAUCGUCAACGACCCCAGUUUCUUCACGAAACUAGAUUGAAACCGCGACGGUGGCCUGGAUUUUUAUGAAGUGCUCACCUAUAUAGUGACUUAG
rnacentral:lncRNA from 1 species